AAUUCGAUGCAACGCGAAGAACCUACCUGGUCUUGACAUCCGGAGACCUUAGGAACUAGGGGUGCUUCCAUCUGGAAGAAUCUGGAGACAGGUGCUGCAUGGCUGUCGUCAGCUCGUGUCGUGAGAUGUUGGGUUAAGUCCCGCAACGAGCGCAACCCUUGCCUUUAGUUGCCAGCAGUUCGGCUGGGCACUCUAAAGGGACUGCCGGUGUUAAACCGGAGGAAGGUGGGGAUGACGUCAAGUCCUCAUGGCCUUUAUGACCAGGGCUACACACGUACUACAAUGGCCGAUACAAAGGGCAGCGACACUGCGAGGUGAAGCCAAUCCCGUAAAAUCGGUCUCAGUCCGGAUUGGAGUCUGCAACUCGACUCCAUGAAGUUGGAAUCGCUAGUAAUCGUGGAUCAGCAUGCCACGGUGAAUACGUUCCCGGGCCUU
rnacentral:rRNA from 1 species